GGAGGAGGUCGUCCCGGAGGAGGGUGGCCGGGGAGGAGGCCUGGCCUCCCGGCCCUCUCCUGGCCACGUCCCCCAGCCCCAGUCCCGGCCAGGCCUCGCCAGGGGGAGGGCGGCGGUGGGGGGCUCUGUGUAGGCCUUGCUGGUCCCUCCUCCCUGGUGCCAUGUUGAGGGCCGCUGGAACCAGAUACUUGAGUGAAUCAGAGACACAUCUGCAUAUCCACAUCAUUGUUUCCUCAAGGACUGUGACCUCUCAGGGAUGUCUCUGCAACGGAAUGGUUCUUUAAACUGACCAACCACUGACUUCCAUUCUUCCCACCCUGGAAAACUCCUCCUGCAGGUUGUGAUGCCAAGAGAACUCGCAGCCAAACUGGGAGCAGACCCUAUCCUGCUUCUUUUUCAGCCAAUCAGGGGAGAAAGCGGGAAGUCUAAAUAGCUGUCAGAACUGUAUAAAAUGUCUUGCAUUUUUCUGUGAAUUCAUGCUUGUAUCUUUUGAAGCAAAUUCCUUGUACUUGCAUCCCUUUUGGCCAAAUUGUAAUAAAC
rnacentral:lncRNA from 11 species